UUCCCGGGCCUUGUACACACCGCCCGUCACACCACGAAAGUCGGCAAUACCCGAAGCCGGUGGCCUAACCCGUCAAGGGAGGGAGCCGUCGAAGGUAGGGUCGAUGAUUGGGGUG
rnacentral:rRNA from 1 species